UGUAUUAUAGUGUAAGAGGCACUCGAAUUUUUGAUUUUCGUGGGUUAAGUUUAAUUCUUAAUGAUACAA
rnacentral:tRNA from 1 species